AAUGGAAGAUGGUUUUACAUCAACAAGUAAAGGAAAAAAGAAAUUAUUUUAGUACUUACUUUUGAUACUAAUUCAAAUUGCGUUGCUGUGUCAGAAGAAGGAUAGCUAUACUGAUUCGGUAUACUCUAAAGACGCCCUCGGUACAAUAUUGACGAUCUCACAAAGAUUAAAUUUCAGUGAAUUGUCAUUUACUGAUCUCAUCUUUUACGGAAUCGAUCUUCUUUGACUGUACAAGAAUAUGUGGAGCUCAGCAUGUCUGGAAGCACAGGAGAACGUUCGUUUGCUGAUAUUAUUACCAGUAUUCGAUACUGGGUCAUUCAUAGCAUUACUAUACCUUCCCUAUUCAUUGCGGGUUGGUUAUUUGUCAGCACCGGUUUAGCUUACGAUGUGUUUGGAAGCCCUCGGCCAAACGAGUAUUUUACAGAGAGCCGACAAGGAAUUCCAUUAAUAACUGGCCGUUUUGAUCCUUUGGAACAACUCGAUGAAUUUAGUAGAUCGUUUUAGGAGGCCCUAAUGACUAUAGAUCGAACCUAUCCAAUUUUUACAGUACGAUGGUUGGCUGUUCACGGCCUAGCUGUACCUACCGUCUUUUUUUUGGGAUCAAUAUCAGCAAUGCAGUUCAUCCAACGAUAAACUUAAUCCGAAUUAUAGAGCUACGACACAAUCAAACCCGAACGAACAAAAUGUUGAAUUGAAUCGUACCAGUCUCUACUGGGGGUUAUUACUCAUUUUUGUACUUGCUGUUUUAUUUUCCAAUUAUUUCUUCAAUUAAGAAAAAGAAAGAGAAUAAAUAAGAUUCUCUUAGCUCAUUCGGAAGGAUCUCAUAAUUUAAUUAUCCAUGACUGUUUAUGUCUCUAGCAUGACCACUUGAUGAAAUCUGGAGGGAAGUGGGGUAAAUGGCCGAUACUACUGGAAGGAUUCCUCUUUGGAUAAUAGGUACUGUAGCUGGUAUUCUUGUAAUCGGUUUAAUAGGUAUUUUCUUUUAUGGUUCAUAUUCCGGAUUGGGUUCAUCCCUGUAGUAAUCGAAUGAAUUGAGUUAUCAACAUGAAAGCGUAAGAACUCAACGGGAUUCCCUUCCUUGUUUGUUUGAUUCGAAGGGGAAGGGCCCGUUGAGUUCUUAAGAAUCAUACUAUUUUUUUCGUCUAAAUGAUAAAAUGAAAUAAUAAAAUGGAUUUCUUUUUCUUUUCAAAAACUCCAUUUUUCUCAUUUUUCUGAUCAUGUUUUUUAAAAAUUCACUUCAUUGAUUUAUUCAGACCACCUCUUCUUUUUAUAUGAUAGUAUCUAUUUGUAUAAGAUAAGUUGAUUGAAGAAGUUUUAUUUAAUUAAUAAAAUUUCCUCUCUUUUUUUGUUUUGUUUGUCCACCACUCCAUAUAUUAUACGUAAAGGGGGCGUAGGGUAACGGGUUUCUGAUACAUCUGGAAAAAUCGAAACCAAGACUAGGAAUUUUUAACAAACAGGAUCAAGAAUCAUUACUCUUUCGUUUCGACACAAGAAAAAAGGAUUUUUCUACACCCCUUUCUUGUGUCGAAGACUGGGAAGACAAAUAAUCCCUUCUAGGAUUUUUUCUUCCACGCAUUUAUCCCCCGCUUCCUUAUGUCUAGUAUUUAGACAAAUUUUACUUUCUUUCUAUUUAGAAUAGAAAACUAUUGAUACGUCUUAUGUCUUAUGGCAGUGAAAUCUAUCAAUAGUAACAUAGUCCUACUACUCCAAUAAAAAAAACUAAAUCAAAAUAAUGAAAGUCAAAUACUCUUCUUUAAAUUCUACAUUACAUACUCUUUUUCUACGAGAUGCUGGGAAUCCCUUGUACCACAUAGUAUGUAGAUUUUGAAGAAGAGUAUAAAUAAGACAAAGGAGUUUUCAGAAUUUAAUUUUUUUUUUAUUUUUUUGAUCAUAAAUAAUCGCCAACAAGAAUUUGGUUCUUUUUACGAACUUGAUAUCGAUAAAUCUGCGAAUCUAGAAAUUCAUUUCGGCCAAUUGAACCUUCUCAAACUGUUUCUUUUUAAGAACCAAAAAGAUUUGUGCCAAAAUAACAGAUGCCAAGAAGAACAAAAGUCCUUGGACACGUAAUGGAUCUUGAAGUACUAUUUCUGCAUCUCCCUGACCAAAUCCGCCUAUAUUAGGAUUACUCGUUAAUGGUUGAUCAAAUUUGAUAGAUUCGCCCUCGGAAACAAGAAGUUCUGGUCCGGGAGGGAUAAUAUCAACCACUUGACGUCCCUCCGACGCAUCCGUUAUGGUUAUCUCAUAUCCCCCUUUUUCUUUUCGUAUGAUUUUGCUUACUAUACCUGCUGCUGUAGCAUUAUAAACCGUAUUGUUACUCUUGCUGCCGUCGGGAUAAAUCUGACCCCUUCCCCUGUUACCGCCUACGUAUAUAGGAUAUUUUAAGAAGUGAACAUCCUUCGUAGUAGCAGGGUCCGGGGAAAGAAUAGGGAAGGUUAUUUCACUAUAUUUUUUACCAGGGACAGGGCCUACCACAAGAAUAUUUUUUUUAUUGGGGCGAUAG
rnacentral:lncRNA from 1 species